GGGGCAUUAGCUCAGUUGGUAGAGCACCUGCAUGGCAUGCAGGGGGUCAGCGGUUCAAAUCCGCUAUGCUCCA
rnacentral:tRNA from 3 species